GUUGGGUAGGGGAGCGUUCUGUAAGCCUGUGAAGGUGGCCUGUGAGGGUUGCUGGAGGUAUCAGAAGUGCGAAUGCUGACAUAAGUAACGAUAAAGCGGGUGAAAAGCCCGCUCGCCGGAAGACCAAGGGUUCCUGUCCAACGUUAAUCGGGGCAGGGUGAGUCGACCCCUAAGGCGAGGCCGAAAGGCGUAGUCGAUGGGAAACGGGUUAAUAUUCCCGUACUUGGUGUUACUGCGAAGGGGGGACGGAGAAGGCUAUGUUGGCCGGGCGACGGUUGUCCCGGUUUAAGCGUGUAGGUGUGUGUUCCAGGUAAAUCCGGUUCACUUUAACACUGAGGCGUGAUGACGAGGCACUACGGUGCUGAAGCAACAAAUGCCCUGCUUCCAGGAAAAGCCUCUAAGCAUCAGGUAACAUCAAAUCGUACCCCAAACCGACACAGGUGGUCAGGUAGAGAAUACCAAGGCGCUUGAGAGAACUCGGGUGAAGGAACUAGGCAAAAUGGUGCCGUAACUUCGGGAGAAGGCACGCUGAUAUGUAGGUGAAGUGAUUUACUCAUGGAGCUGAAAUCAGUCGAAGAUACCAGCUGGCUGCAACUGUUUAUUAAAAACACAGCACUGUGCAAACACGAAAGUGGACGUAUACGGUGUGACGCCUGCCCGGUGCCGGAAGGUUAAUUGAUGGGGUCAGCGCAAGCGAAGCUCCUGAUCGAAGCCCCGGUAAACGGCGGCCGUAACUAUAACGGUCCUAAGGUAGCGAAAUUCCUUGUCGGGUAAGUUCCGACCUGCACGAAUGGCGUAAUGAUGGCCAGGCUGUCUCCACCCGAGACUCAGUGAAAUUGAACUCGCUGUGAAGAUGCAGUGUACCCGCGGCAAGACGGAAAGACCCCGUGAACCUUUACUAUAGCUUGACACUGAACAUUGAGCCUUGAUGUGUAGGAUAGGUGGGAGGCUUUGAAGCGUGGACGCCAGUCUGCGUGGAGCCGACCUUGAAAUACCACCCUUUAAUGUUUGAUGUUCUAACGUGGACCCGUAAUCCGGGUUGCGGACAGUGUCUGGUGGGUAGUUUGACUGGGGCGGUCUCCUCCUAAAGAGUAACGGAGGAGCACGAAGGUUGGCUAAUCCUGGUCGGACAUCAGGAGGUUAGUGCAAUGGCAUAAGCCAGCUUGACUGCGAGCGUGACGGCGCGAGCAGGUGCGAAAGCAGGUCAUAGUGAUCCGGUGGUUCUGAAUGGAAGGGCCAUCGCUCAACGGAUAAAAGGUACUCCGGGGAUAACAGGCUGAUACCGCCCAAGAGUUCAUAUCGACGGCGGUGUUUGGCACCUCGAUGUCGGCUCAUCACAUCCUGGGGCUGAAGUAGGUCCCAAGGGUAUGGCUGUUCGCCAUUUAAAGUGGUACGCGAGCUGGGUUUAGAACGUCGUGAGACAGUUCGGUCCCUAUCUGCCGUGGGCGCUGGAGAACUGAGGGGGGCUGCUCCUAGUACGAGAGGACCGGAGUGGACGCAUCACUGGUGUUCGGGUUGUCAUGCCAAUGGCACUGCCCGGUAGCUAAAUGCGGAAGAGAUAAGUGCUGAAAGCAUCUAAGCACGAAACUUGCCCCGAGAUGAGUUCUCCCUGAGACUUAGAGUCUCCUGAAGGAACGUUGAAGACGACGACGUUGAUAGGCCGGGUGUGUAAGCGCAGCGAUGCGUUGAGCUAACCGGUACUAAUGAACCGUGAGGCUUAACCUUACAACGCCGAAG
rnacentral:rRNA from 1 species